AUUGAACGCUGGCGGCAGGCCUAACACAUGCAAGUCGAACGAGUGGCGGACGGGUGAGUAAUGUCUGGGAAACUGCCUGAUGGAGGGGGAUAACUACUGGAAACGGUAGCUAAUACCGCAUACCAUCGGAUGUGCCCAGAUGGGAUUAGCUAGUAGGUGGGGCAACGGCUUACCUAGGCGACGAUCCCUAGCUGGUCUGAGAGGAUGACCAGCCACACUGGAACCGAGACACGGUCAAGACUCCUACGGGAGGCAGCAGUGGAGAAUAUUGCAAAAUGGGCGCAAGCCUGAAUCAGCCAUGCCGGGUGUAUGAAGAAGGCCUUCGAGGUGUAAAGUACUUUCAGCGGAGAGGCGUUACCCGCAGAAGAAGCACCGGCUAACUCCGUGCCAGCAGCCGCGGUGAUUC
rnacentral:rRNA from 1 species